GAUGAACGCUGACAGAAUGCUUAACACAUGCAAGUCUUUGGCGAAGCUGUGCUUGCACAGCCUAGCCAAGGCGGACGGGUGAGUAACGCGUAAGGAACUUGCCCUGCAGUCAGGGAUAACAGACGGAAACGACUGAUAAGACCUGGUAAAGUCAGGCGGACUCAUGUCCAGCCUGAUGAAAAGAGAUGCUGCAGGAGAGCCUUGCGUCCUAUUAGCUUGUUGGUGGGGUAACGGCCCACCAAGGCGAUGAUAGGUAGCCGGCCUGAGAGGGUGGACGGCCAAAAGGGGACUGAGAUACGGCCCUUACUCCUACGGGAGGCAGCAGUGGGGAAUAUUGGACAAUGGGGGCAACCCUGAUACAGCAAUUCUGUGUGCACGAUGAAGGUUUUCGGAUUGUAAAGUGCUUUCAGCAGGGAAGAAAAAAAUGACGGUACCUGCAGAAGAAGCGACGGCUAAAUACGUG
rnacentral:rRNA from 1 species